rnacentral:tRNA from 1 species
AGAUAUUUAGCUCAGUUGGUUAGAGCGUUUCUUUUACACAGAAAAGGUCAGGAGUUCGAAUCUCCUAAUAUCUA